GUACCUCUGGCUGAGUGGUUUAAAGCGGUGGGCUCAUAAUCCACUUUUGCGAAAGCUCAACUUUUUUCAGAUACA
rnacentral:tRNA from 1 species